AGCCGGGGUGGCAGCGGUACCCUGUACCAGCAAUCCGCUAUAGCUGGGGUGAUAUUCCGCCGCGGGUUUUUGGCUGUGAAGCUGCCCUCUAUAAGUGGCGUUGAAGCCUGGGUCUUGCGCAAUAGGAACUUGCGAACCGUGUCAGGUUGGGAACAAAGCAGCACUAAGUAAGAACUCUUAUGUGCCGUAAGGCUGCCUGGGCUGAGUUAACUGUAGAGGUAACGUUCAUGGUCGGGAUUCA
rnacentral:SRP_RNA from 1 species